CCGCUAUUUCUAAAAAUAAAAUCGGGCGACCUUUUGUGUCCAAAAUGUUACGUCUCGAAAAAUCAAUUUUUUUACGAUAACGCUGUUUACUUUCACAUAUCGGUUGCGCAAAGGCGCCGGAAAAUAACUGCACACAUUAUUUGAUGACGUAGAACGCAUUCAACGAAUUUGUGUACACAAAAGCUGACAACAUGGCCGAAUCUUCGACACGAGUUCGAGAUGUAACUGGACACUAGCAAUUGAUGUCCAUGUUACGUCUGAUGCAGUGACCAGACCCAGCAGUUAGCCAGUGACCAGACCCAGCAGUUAGCCAGUGACCAGACCAAGCAGUUAGCCAGUGACCAGACCCAGCAGUAUGCCAGUGACCAGACCCAGCAGUCAGCCAGUGACCAGACCCAGCAGUAUGCCAGUAUCCAGAAAACUUCAUUAAGGGAGCUCGAACAGUCUCUGUGUAAGCAGACCAAGAAGUCGGCCAUUGACCAAACCGAGCAGCCAUCCAGUGACCAGACAGCCAAUGACCCGACCAAGCAGCCAGCCAGUGACCAGACAGAGCACAUAGCCAGUGACCAGAUGACUUCAUUCAGGUGGAUGAAUGGCCGUGGGUCAUAUUCUUCAAGAAAUAUAAAGAUAAUGCAUGGGUUAUGAAUGAAAUAAGGCAUACCAACCUUGAAUCAGAUAUCCAGAGAAAGUUGGAACCACCUAAAGUGUCCAAGCUAGGUCGUCGGCUACUUUACAGAUUUGAAAGUUACAAGGAAGACAAGUGAAGCAGAGAGAGAGGGAGAAAUACCAUGUUUGCAGUUUAGAGUUUGCUGUUGUUUUAGUCUGUGAAAAUCUCAGAAUAAAUAAUAUGUUAAUUAC